CAAAAGUCUAGAACUGGUUCACAUUAUUGAUGAAGGAUAAUCAAUAUAACAUUCAUGAAUCCAAAUGAUCGAAUUCUAAAUAAAGCAAAUCUUCUUAGGUUUCAAUUUCCAGAAAUAUCAUAAGUUGGCAAAAAAGGAAGAACUACCUAAAGAAAAUAAAAUGAUUUAUAAGCGAUAAGAUAGAAGAAAUCCAAACAAUAUGGGCACCAGUAGAACCAAAAUGAUUAUCUGCAAAAAAGUUGCGAUGAAAUUAAAUCGAAUAAAAUGUCUAAGAACCAAAAAAAAAGAAUAAAUAUCGUUAAGAUUUUCAUCUCACCAAUAUCAUGCUAUACAUCGAUUUGCUUUCGUAGGUAUUAUAUAGUCUGGGUAAAAAAGGGAUGAUUAGAUAUGAUAAUGUGUCGUAAUAUUAAAGGAAAAAAAAAUGUAAGCAGAGUUAUUGGGUUUCAUAGAUUUGUGAUCAAACUAUUUUAAUUUUUAAUUCCAAAUGAACAUAAAAAAAAUUAAUUUGGACUUUGGAGGUAGAGAAAAU
rnacentral:lncRNA from 1 species